rnacentral:rRNA from 1 species
AUUGAACGCUGGCGGCAGGCCUAACACAUGCAAGUCGAACGGUAACAGGAAGAAGCUUGCUUCUUUGCUGACGAGUGGCGGACGGGUGAGUAAUGUCUGGGAAACUGCCUGAUGGAGGGGGAUAACUACUGGAAACGGUAGCUAAUACCGCAUAACGUCGCAAGACCAAAGAGGGGGACCUUCGGGCCUCUUGCCAUCGGAUGUGCCCAGAUGGGAUUAGCUAGUAGGUGGGGUAACGGCUCACCUGGCGACGAUCCCUAGCUGGUCUGAGAGGAUGACCAGCCACACUGGAACUGAGACACGGUCCAGACUCCUACGGGAGGCAGCAGUGGGGAAUAUUGCACAAUGGGCGCAAGCCUGAUGCAGCCACGCCGCGUGUAUGAAGAAGGCCUUCGGGUUGUAAAGUACUUUCAGCGGGGAGGAAGGGAGUAAAGUUAAUACCUUUGCUCAUUGACGUUACCCGCAGAAGAAGCACCGGCUAACUCCGUG